rnacentral:SRP_RNA from 2 species
GCGGAGAUCGGCGCGGGCGAAGGCUUCGCCAAUCUGGUCAGGGCCGGAAGGCAGCAGCCACAACGAAAUCCCCUUCGGGUCGUGUUCGGUCUCCACCCU